AGAGUUUGAUCCUGGCUCAGAGCGAACGCUGGCGGCAGGCCUAACACAUGCAAGUCGAGCGCCCCGCAAGGGGAGCGGCAGACGGGAGAGUAACACGUGGGGACGUACCCUUCAGUUCGGAACAACCCAGGGGAACUUGGGCUAAUGCCGGAUACGUCCGUAAGGAGAAAGAUUUAUCGCUGAAGGAUCGGCCCGCGUCUGAUUAGCUUGUUGGUGAGGUAACGGCUCACCAAGGCUACGAUCAGUAGCUGGUCUGAGAGGAUGAUCAGCCUCACUGGGACUGAGACACGGCCCAGACUCCUACGGGAGGCAGCAGUGGGGAAUAUUGGACAAUGGGCGCAAGCCUGAUCCAGCCAUGCCGCGUGGAUGAUGAAGGCCCUAGGGUUGUAAAGUCCUUUC
rnacentral:rRNA from 1 species